UGGGGAAUAUUGGACAAUGGGGGCAACCCUGAUCCAGCAAUGCCGCGUGUGUGAAGAAGGCCUUCGGGUUGUAAAGCACUUUUAUCGGGAACGAAACAUUGUCGGCCAAUACCCGGCAAGACUGACGGUACCCGAGGAAUAAGCACCGGCUAACUCCGUGCCAGCAGCCGCGGUAAUACGGAGGGUGCAAGCGUUAAUCGGAAUUACUGGGCGUAAAGCGUGCGCAGGCGGUUUGUUAAGUCUGCUGUGAAAUCCCCGAGCUCAACUUGGGAAUUGCAGUGGAUUCUGGCAAGCUGGAGUACGGUAGAGGAAGGUGGAAUUCCCGGUGUAGCAGUGAAAUGCGUAGAGAGCGGGAGGAACACCGGUGGCGAAGGCGGCCUUCUGGACCAGUACUGACGCUCAUGCACGAAAGCGUGGGGAGCAAAC
rnacentral:rRNA from 1 species